rnacentral:rRNA from 1 species
CCGCGUAACAACCGACGGGGGCAUCCCUGUUGGUUCAAAGGAGCGAUCCGGCUGCGGAUGGUCAUGCGGCGCAUUAGCUAGUUGGCGGGGCAACGGCCCACCAAGGCGACGAAGCGUAGGGGUUCUGAGAGGAAGGUCCCCCACACUGGUACUGAGACACGGACCAGACUCCUACGGGAGGCAGCAGUGAGGAAUAUUGGUCAAUGGCCGAGAGGCUGAACCAGCCAAGUCGCGUGAGGGAUGACGGCCCUACGGGUUGUAAACCUCUUUUGCCGGGGAGCAAAGAGCGGGACGCGUCCCGCCUCGAGAGUACCCGGAGAAAAAGCAUCGGCUAACUCCGUGCCAGCAGCCGCGGUAAUACGGAGGAUGCGAGCGUUAUCCGGAUUUAUUGGGUUUAAAGGGUGCGCAGGCGGAAGCGCAAGUCAGCGGUAAAAUUGAGAGGCUCAACCUCUUCCCGCCGUUGAAACUGCGUUUCUUGAGUGGGCGAGAAGUACGCGGAAUGCGUGGUGUAGCGGUGAAAUGCAUAGAUAUCACGCAGAACUCCGAUUGCGAAAGCAGCGUAACCGGCGCCCCAACUGACCGCUCAUGCCCCAAAACCGUGGGUUAUCCAAAAAGGAAUAAAAAAACCCUUGGGUAGUCCCCGCCCGGAAAAACAAAGAAAAACUCCCCCUGGUCCGGGGGAAAAAUUUGGUUUUCCGGGGGGGGGGCCAAAACCAAAAAAACCACUUUAAAUAUUA